rnacentral:rRNA from 1 species
CAGCCAGACUCCUACGGGAGGCAGCAGUCGAGGAUCAUUCACAAUGGGGGAAACCCUGAUGCAGCGACGCCGCGUGAGUGAAGAAGUAUUUCGGUAUGUAAAGCUCUAUCAGCAGGGAAGAAAAUGACGGUACCUGAUUAAGAAGCCCCGGCUAACUACGUGCCAGCAGCCGCGGUAAUACGUAGGGGGCAAGCGUUAUCCGGAUUUACUGGGUGUAAAGGGAGCGUAGACGGUGAUGCAAGUCAGAAGUGAAAGCCCGGGGCUCAACUCCGGAACUGCUUUGGAAACUGUGCGGCUGGAGUGCAGGAGGGGUAAGCGGAAUUCCUAGUGUAGCGGUGAAAUGCGUAGAUAUUAGGAGGAACACCGGUGGCGAAGGCGGCUUACUGGACUGUAACUGACGUUGAGGCUCGAAAGCGUGGGGAGCAAACAGGAUUAGAUACCCUUGUAAC